UGAUGCCAAUCUGCGAAUGGAUUUCCACAACAAUGGAUCCAAUGAGUGGUUGGGCUUUCGACUGGAAAGCCGAGUCAAUUCACGAGAUGUUGCAAGAUAAUAUCCCCGGUACCAAACAUUUAGCCAGCCUAGAGGAAUCAAAAGUAGUGUGGUUGGCCAAGAAUAUUGGCAUGUGAUGAUGAUGAUGCCAAGCAGGGUGACAAACAUGGCCAAAGUGAGAUUCAUAAAAAACGGGAGGAACACGUCAAUGUUAGUCUGAUCAUUAGAUGCCCGACUCAGAAUUCUUCCAGAAGGUGUUGUGUCAAAAAAGGACAUAGGAGCGUGCAGUA
rnacentral:misc_RNA from 1 species